CUUGCUCUGAUUGCAGAUGUGGCUGCUGUGUCAUAUGUAUGUCAGUAGGUGGCAGAGGGGAGAGAGAAGAUAUGUCUAUGUUUGGCAUUCUAGUCUAUGAAUAUUUGAAUGAUUAGCAGCCUAACACU
ensembl:snoRNA Gm25013 predicted gene, 25013